UCAUCGUUGGCUUCACACAUCUAGUUGUUUCUGGCAACAGCCGCUGAUGAGAGUGGGAAAUUUUACUUCUCUUUUACUACAGUGGAUUGCUAUAUCGUUGAUCAUAUUUGACCAAAUGAAUGCCGAUGUGAUCCGAAAUUAAACAUGGAUUAAGAUGUCCUGACCAAAUGUAUUUCAGACAUGGCGGGAAUAGCAUGGUAUCAGAAAAAGAUUGGAGCUUAUGAUCAACAGAUUUGGGAAAAAUCACUGGAACAAACUGAGCUCAGGGGCAUUGGAAGCAAACCUAAAAAGACUGGCCAUAUCAAGCCAGACCUCAUUGAUAUAGAUUUAGUGCGAGGUUCCACAUUUAGCAAAGCCAAACCUGAGAGCCCUUGGACGGCUCUGACUCGCAAAGGCUUGGUCAGGGUCCUCUUUUAUCCCUUUUUCUUUCCGUGGUGGAUCCAAGUGACAUCUAAAUGCAUCUCCUCUUGCAUCUUGGUUCUAUACUUUCUUCAAGUGGCAGGAGCUGUAUUGUAUUUUGAGGUACCAGCAGCCUGUGCCAGUGAGUUGGUGUGUCCAUUGUGUCUCAUGCUGUUGUUGGGUACAGUCCACUGCCAAAUAGUGUCCACAGAAUCCUCCAGAAGCCCAGAUAACAGUCCUUUAUCCAGUCGGGCAGCCAGCCCUGUUCGCAGGAAAAGACCGAGGAAGAGCAGAAAAGCUAAGCAAUCAGAGGAUGAAAGCAGUAGAGGGGGCGGGACUGUCGAACUCAGACCCUGGCAGUUUGAAGAAACCCACCAGCUCUACAGAUCAGAGAAGAGACUGAACUCUGAUGAUCUCUCCAGUGAGGAAGAGGAAGUAGAUGAAGCAGAGCUGCAUAGAGACAGACUCUUCUCUUCAUUGCCUCACAAAUACGUCCCAGCACUCAGGAAUAGACUUCGCAAUGUCCCCAAGAACCACCUACCACCUCAGCACCAACGUCAGGGAGAUGGUAAUGUCAUGACAACAGGCACCCCAGCACUGCCACGUGAAGUCGAGCAUCUACGGCCAUCGGAGGGCUCACGCCCAGCCUCUGACACAGAUGACAUGUUAUGGGAGGAGCUUCUACAGGAUCCCGACUCUGCCUCUUCAGAAAGCAGUGACAGUGUGGAGGAGGAGCUUCACAGUCAUAGCCACUCCCUCCCAAUGUCCAACAUCACUUUAACAAGUGAUGAGGAUGAGACCUUACCGCAGCACCAGUUUUCAUGGCUGCAGGUUUGCCACCCCUCCAAAGACCGGGUCAGUUCCAUUAUCUGGGAGAAAGGAGAGUGUAAGAAAGCAGACAUGUCUGUGCUGGAGAUCAGUGGUAUCAUUCUUUCACGAGUGAAGGUGGUAGAACAAGGGAUGGGUUAUCUAAUCUUUGGGAGCCUGGUCACUGCCUCACUGGCACUGCUGCCAUACUGCUUCAGACUGGCUCAGAUACUGGAUGUUGCAAAUUUCAGUUCUGUUUCACUUGAGGAACUGCCAGUAGUGGCUUUUGGGCCUCCCAGUGCCUUGUCUUAUGCUUUCUUCACCAUCACCACAGUGGAGAGAGCUUUCCUUACUGGACUCUUCUUCUUCAUGAUGUGUGUGGCUGAGAGAACAUAUAAACAGCGCCUUCUAUUUGCCAAACUCUUCAGCCAUCUCACAUCGGCACGGAAAGCCAAAAAAUCUGAGAUUCCUCACUUUCGAUUGAAGAAAGUACAGAAUAUCAAGAUGUGGCUUUCACUUCGGUCAUUCCUCAAGAGGCGAGGGCCUCAGCGCUCAGUGGAUGUCAUUGUAUCAUCAAUUUUCCUCUUGGCAUUGUCCAUUGCCUUCAUCAUCUGUGCCCAGCUUUUGCACAGUCACAACACAUUCCUGGACUCAGAGACCAACUGGGAGCUGAUUGUCUGGUGUGCUGCUCUCGUGGUUUUCCUGCUACGCCUCGCUACCCUCGGCGUAGAGACCAACCGAAAGUAUAGCAAUGCUUCUGUGCUUCUAACUGAACAGAUAAACUUAUAUCUUAAGAUGGAGAAGAAACCCAACAAAAAGGAUCAGCUGAAUAUAGUGAACAAUGUGUUGAGGCUGGCCACAAAAUUAAUGAAAGAAUUGGACACUCCAUUUCGUCUGUUAGGUCUGACAGUGAACCCACUUAUCUACAAUAUCACAAGAGUGGUUAUUCUGUCAGCCAUCUCGGCUGCAGUCAGCGACUUAUUGGGGUUCAACAUCAGGCUGUGGAAGAUCAAGCCUUGAUAUGAUGCCAUUACACUGCCAGCGUCUUAACACUGAGAGCAGAGAGAGAGACACUUAUGUACAACACACCAGAUGGCCAAGUUACGUAAUCUUUAAUAACUGUGCAAAUCUACUUAUCAAACUUAUGCAUGACUUUACCUCUGUGUUCUGUGGCAAUGGCCAGACCAACCAAACCUGUGUUCAGCUCAGCUUUGGCUCUAGAAUAUUUCCUCAAACUUGAGUUUUAGGACCGUAAAGCACAACUACACUUGAAAAUUGAAUGGAGCAUCCUGGAUCUUUCUUGAUGGACUUGCCAGUUGCUGUGAUGUCAUAUUUCAGCAAGUGCCCUUUGUUUGCCCAAUUUAUGAAACAUGGAUUGGUGAAGUGCUGAAUGGGAAAUGAAAUUAAGGUUUUAAGUUUUUAGAAAAGGGUACUGAAACACUGAAGCUCUGGGUUGGACCAACUUUUUUUUUACUGGCACUGUUUUAAAAUAAAACUUUUGUCUAACUACAGAUUUUACUAAUGUGCUUUUUAAUUACAAUCAUUAUUGUAUUGUACUCAACUGUAAUGUAGUGGGUUACUGAGACCGAGUUCACUGACAUGGAUGUUUCAUUCUACAGCUGGUAUUAGGUGCACUAUGUUUUUACACUACACUAGGAAGAGUGAGUGAUUAAGACUGUCAGAUCCAGCAUGUCUGCAUGGCAGCAGUAGAAUGGUCUGACCAGCUCUGCUGAAGCCAAGAAAUCAGAGCCCAGAGUCAAAGAAAAGACAUGCUCAUGGGCGUCCUACAUGACCAACUUCCCCUAUAUGAUCGGCCUCCCUGCCAGAGGCAAGACGUAUAUGUCUAAGAAAUUUGAUAGGCGUUCCCACCAAGGUAUUCAACCUGGAUGUUUACCGCAAGGAGGCAGUUAAAGCAUACAAGUCAUAUGACUUCUUAAGACAUGACAAUAAGGAAGCCAUGAAGAUAUGAAAGGUGUAUGUGAGGAGAUGACCUAUGAAAUGAUCCAGAACAUAUUCCCAGAGGAGUUUGCUUUACAGGAUCAGGACAAAUACCACUACAGAUGUCCAGGAGGAGAGGCUGUAACACAACCAGUCUCUUCCAUCUCAAACCUGGGGAAAGUCAGACGAGACUCCACCCCACUGCUGCUAAGGCACACCCUAGUUACCUAGUUACACCCCCCCUCCAGUCACGACCAGGUUAAACGGCCCGCCUCUUCAGCGCCAACAACUGGCCCUGGCUGUCUCACACCCCUUCCACAACCACCCUGCUCUACCCUGACAUGCCAGAUGGAGCACUGCUGCUUCAGCAAAGCCAAGAUAGUGUCAGAAUCUAAUAACGUACUGUGUUUGAAGACAAACUAAAAGGACGUGACUGACCCAGUGAUCAGUGAUUUCCAGACAUUACUAACCCUCCUCACCCUGGCGCACGGACUUGUCCCUGAAUGUACCAUCCAGUACCGCUUAUUGUGCUAUCCUUUUGGAUUCAAUUUUUCAGUCUGCUUCAUUCUUAUCCUGUUUUUAACUCAUGCACUUGUCCUUUGCUAACUGUUUAUUCUGGCCUAAAGUCUAUAAAUUCUAUGGCCUAAAGAGUGCAGCUUGCUUUCCUGUGUUGACAUAUUUCUGAUUGAAACAGCAAGUAUGAGCGUGACAAAUUGAAUGGCUCAUUUCUUUUAGUUUACUACCGUAAUAGCCUGUAGUUUACAUCACUGCUGUGAACCAUGAUUUGCUACUUGCUGUUGCUGUUAAGUAGUAGUAUUAUGGGGAGGAACGUUCUCAUUCCAGAGAACAUUUAAUGGGACAAAAUCAUUGAGUCCAAGAUGAGUCAUUAAAUUUUUGGUAUACAAAGACUGGGAAUUUUAAAUUUGUGUAAAUGCUAUACGUUACCUUUUUAUGUAUGUGAUUUUCUCCCCUUUUCUCCCCAAUUUGGAAUGCCCAAUUCCCAAUGCACUCUAAAGUCCUCGUGGUGACGUAGUGAGUCGCCUCAAUCCAGGUGGCGGAGGACAAAUCUCAGUUGCCUCCGCGUCUUACACAUUCAAUCCACGCAUCUUAUCACGUGGCUUGUUGAGCGCAUUACCAUCGAGACGUAGCACAUGUGGAGGCUUCACGCUAUUCUCCGCGGCAUCCAGGCACAACUCACCACGUGCCCCACCGAGAGCUAGAACCACAUUAUAGCGACCACAAGGAGGUUACCCCAUGUGACUCUACCCUUCCUAGCAACCGAACAAUUUGGUUCCUUAGGAGACCUGGCUGGAGUCACUCAGCACACUCUGGAUUCAAACUCGCGACUCCAGGGGUGGUAGUCAGCGUCAAAACUCCCUGAGCUACCCAGGCCCCUAAACGAUACUUUUGUGAACCUUUAGGAGAACACUUGCACAUUGAUGGCCUCAAAGCUAAUAGAAAUGGACCAAAAGCCACAAAACUUGAUUUCAUGGGGUUUUUAAAUGUUGUCAUGGCUCCAUAUUUCGUAAUCAGUUUGUCCUUGUGCUUUAGUUCUCUUCUCCAUAUUUGUCUCUCCUCUUUCUUUCUCCUUUUUGCUCUGUUGUUCCGGUCAUCCUUCUCUCUCUCUCUUUCUGUCCGCACUGUCCCUUGUGGCAUGCAGUCACAAUCAUCAAUAAAGACUUAUACUCUCUCUCUUGAAUGAAAUUUACUCUAGAUACAGUUAGAUUCUUAAGAUACACACAAAACAAAUAUAUUAAACUCAAGUGCACAUUUAAAACAUAUUUCAGUCACUUUUUAAGAUGAUUGCAUAUCAAUCGUAUAACAAACUGGAUCUGCAAAUGUUGAAACCCCCAGAUCUAAAGAUAAGAAUUUGUAGGGGCCUUAAUACUUUCUGAAGGCAAUGUAAAUAUUUAUGUAUCUGUAACAGACUGGAUACUUAGUGACACCAAACUGUCCAUAUGUUGAAGGUUUAACUUUAAUUUCAUCUUUUGAGGACUCCUUGUGUGCAUAUGCAAAUGCAUAAUCAAUGUCCAGGAUUUUACUGCACAGUGUUUCAAAUGACUAAAGUUCUUUUCACAUGGUGCAGAUGUUAAGUUGUCUUGGGUAAACACCCUCUGCACUUUAAUUGUCAAUGUAUCUGAGCGUGUUAAACCCUGCUGCAUAAAAUAUAUGCUGUUUCACAGCAACCUAAGUGCAACUGACUUGAGAUAAACAAGCAUGCAUUGCCCAUAUUUAGUGACUGCUAUGUUGGCACAGUUCAUAUUGCACAUUAAAUGUGAUUUUUAACAGUAUUAUAUAAUGGAUACUUUUAUGUGGUGAUACCACACAGAAUGUAAAAAUGCAUGACUGAUUGGUUUUCAGACCUUUUGGGUAUAUACAAAUUUUCAAUGGUAUUGUUUUGAUAUUGGUUCCAGUUACAUUCAACAAUUAAACUUCUGUUAUGUCAGACUUCUAUUAAUGUGCAAUUAUAAUUCUGCACUGUCAAAAAUGCUUGUGUGUGUGUGUGUAUAUAUAUAUAUAUAUAUAUAUAUAUUGGGUAAACACCCUCUAUACUAUAUAUUAGUAUAUGUGUGUGUAUGUAUAUAUAUAUAUAUAUAGUGGUUUUUGCUGCAACAGUGGCCACCAGAUGGCCAAAAAGGACCAUUUUAUUUGUGUCAGCAAAACAGAUGCAAACUGCUAUACCAAUGUAUAGUUUUUGUCAUGUGAUUGUUCCAUUGGAUUCAUUUAUUUAACACAGCAUUUUAGAUAUAAUUAACCACCACAAAGGAACUGUUCAUCAUGAAGUCAGUCCUUAUAAAUAAUAUUGGCUUUUAUUUGAGGUCCAAUAAUAAGGUCCAACUUCACUUUGAGUGCUAAUGUUCCAGAUACCAUAUUAUAAUUUUUCUUAGCAAAUUUUUCUAUAAUUUAUUAUUAUUGGAGGUUGUUUCUUAAUAUUUUUGUAUUUUAAAAAAAAAAGUAUGUUUUGUAAAGUAUGUAAACUUAAAGAGUUAUGAAACAAUAAAAAUAAUUUUUUGAGACAAGUUAAUU